GGCUCAGAUUGAACGCUGGCGGCAGGCCUAACACAUGCAAGUCGAACGGUAACAGGAAGCAGCUUGCUGCUUUGCUGACGAGUGGCGGACGGGGGAGUAAUGUCUGGGAAACUGCCUGAUGGAGGGGGAUAACUACUGGAAACGGUGGCUAAUACCGCAUAACGUCGCAAGACCAAAGAGGGGGACCUUCGGGCCUCUUGCCAUCAGAUGUGCCCAGAUGGGAUUAGCUUGUUGGUGAGGUAACGGCUCACCAAGGCGACGAUCCCUAGCUGGUCUGAGAGGAUGACCAGCCACACUGGAACUGAGACACGGUCCAGACUCCUACGGGAGGCAGCAGUGGGGAAUAUUGCACAAUGGGCGCAAGCCUGAUGCAGCCAUGCCGCGUGUAUGAAGAAGGCCUUCGGGUUGUAAAGUACUUUCAGCGGGGAGGAAGGUGUUGUGGUUAAUAACCGCAGCAAUUGACGUUACCCGCAGAAGAAGCACCGGCUAACUCCGUGCCAGCAGCCGCGGUAAUACGGAGGGUGCAAGCGUUAAUCGGAAUUACUGGGCGUAAAGCGCACGCAGGCGGUCUGUCAAGUCGGAUGUGAAAUCCCCGGGCUCAACCUGGGAACUGCAUUCGAAACUGGCAGGCUUGAGUCUUGUAGAGGGGGGUAGAAUUCCAGGUGUAGCGGUGAAAUGCGUAGAGAUCUGGAGGAAUACCGGUGGCGAAGGCGGCCCCCUGGACAAAGACUGACGCUCAGGUGCGAAAGCGUGGGGAGCAAACAGGAUUAGAUACCCUGGUAGUCCACGCCGUAAACGAUGUCUACUUGGAGGUUGUGCCCUUGAGGCGUGGCUUCCGGAGCUAACGCGUUAAGUAGACCGCCUGGGGAGUACGGCCGCAAGGUUAAAACUCAAAUGAAUUGACGGGGGCCCGCACAAGCGGUGGAGCAUGUGGUUUAAUUCGAUGCAACGCGAAGAACCUUACCUGGUCUUGACAUCCACGGAAGUUUUCAGAGAUGAGAAUGUGCCUUCGGGAACCGUGAGACAGGUGCUGCAUGGCUGUCGUCAGCUCGUGUUGUGAAAUGUUGGGUUAAGUCCCGCAACGAGCGCAACCCUUAUCCUUUGUUGCCAG
rnacentral:rRNA from 1 species